UAAUAGUUAUUUUUUUAUUAAUCACAAGAUAAAGUGAUUAAUAAAAAAAUAACUAUUAACCUUUAGAUAUAAUUCUAAUAGUUGAACAUCUGUCAGAUAUUUAAUUUUUAAUCAUAAUCUAAUUACUCAGGGUUAUAAAAAGCUAUUUAUAAAAAUUCAACGCUUAUAAAUAAUGUGAGAUUAAAGGUAGUUCCUGUUAUAUUUAAAAAGUACGUUGAUGAUUGGUUAGAGUCUUUAAAGUUUAAAUUAGUUAAAAGAGAGUUUAAAUUGUUCUGUUUUUAUCUUAUGCUCUAUAUCUAAAAGCUAUUGAAAUAUUUAUUGCAUUGUUUUUCAUUUAUUUUAUUACAUUAUGAAAGUUAAUAAUAUAUAAACUGAAAAUAAUACUCAUUUUAAUGAGUAAAUGAUUAACCAUUUUUACGGUAUAGUAAAAUAGUUUUUAUUUUUCAGUUAAGGAAGAAUUUUAUGUUAAUGUUGAUGCAAAAGGUAUGAAUAUUGACAGGUUAGCUAAUUUGAUUUUACAAUAAACAUGAAAUAAAGUACGUGAAGACCUUAGUGCUAGAAGUACUUGCAUGCAUUAUUUAUGCAUUCAAUAUUAUAAUAUAGCAUGCAUGCAUGAUGCAUUCAAGUAUAAAAAAAAAAGUUACAAAUGUUGUCCUACUUUACAUCUUUGAAGACUAAUAAUAAUUGUAAUGAAUAUAUCUCAAACAAUAUACACUCGGAUUUACAUUUUAGUUAAACCACUUCCACAGCCACCUUGUCUUAAGCAUUUAAUUGCAUUCUAAGAUAUCUUUAUUUAAAUCAAUUGUGACUACUAUACCAAAAGACUGUAGAAUGGUACAAUCAACUCGAAAAUUGAGUUCUAAAAUACCAUUAUUUACAUAACUACUAUAUCAAAACACUAACUAAUGGAUUGAUCAAGUAAUACUUAAUUUUUAGCUUGAGUUGCAUGUUAGUACAUAUAUGAUUUUGUGAAACUGUCGGUAUCUCCACAUCUUCCGUACAGGUGGAAAUAAGAAAGGUUAUGUUUUAAGGUUAUGUCCUUUUUUUCUAACUCUUAAGACAAAGAGGCUUAAUCGGUUCAAGCAAAGAUAACGAUGAUCAUUAUGGAGCUGAUCAUGAUGACGAAUACGAUAAUACAUAUAAUAAUAAAUAAAAUGAUUUUACUUGUAUUUUAGACUUAAAUAAAUAAAAAAUUAUCUGUUUAA